UACGUAGGGUGCAAGCGUUGUCCGGAAUUAUUGGGCGUAAAGAGCUCGUAGGCGGCCUGUCGCGUCGGCUGUGAAAACCCGGGGCUCAACCCCGGGCCUGCAGUCGAUACGGGCAGGCUAGAGUUCGGCAGGGGAGACUGGAAUUCCUGGUGUAGCGGUGAAAUGCGCAGAUAUCAGGAGGAACACCGGUGGCGAAGGCGGGUCUCUGGGCCGAUACUGACACUGAGGAGCGAAAGCGUGGGGAGCGAACAGG
rnacentral:rRNA from 1 species